rnacentral:rRNA from 1 species
UACGAAGGGGGCUAGCGUUGCUCGGAAUUACUGGGCGUAAAGGGCGCGUAGGCGGACAGUUUAGUCAGAGGUGAAGGCCCAGGGCUCAACCUUGGAAUUGCCUUUGAUACUGGCUGUCUUGAGUUCGGGAGAGGUGAGUGGAAUGCCGAGUGUAGAGGUGAAACUCGUAGAUAUUCGGCGGAACACCAGUGGCGAAGGCGACUCACUGGCCCGAUACUGACGCCGAGGCGCGAAAGCGUGGGGAGCAAACAGG